UGAGGAAUUUUGCGCAAUGGGGGAAACCCUGACGCAGCAAUGCCGCGUGAGUGAUGAAGGCCUUUGGGUCGUAAAGCUCUGUCAAGUGGGAAGAAAUGGUUUGCGGUUAAUACCCGCAGGUUUUGACGGUACCACUGAAGGAAGCACCGGCUAACUCCGUGCCAGCAGCCGCGGUAAUACGGGGGGUGCAAGCGUUAUUCGGAAUUAUUGGGCGUAAAGCGCGCGUAGGCGGUUCGGUAGGUCAGAUGUGAAAUCCCGGGGCUCAACCCCGGAAGUGCAUUUGAAACCCCUGAACUUGAGUACGGGAGAGGGAAGUGGAAUUCCAGGUGUAGAGGUGAAAUUCGUAGAUAUCUGGAGGAACACCGGUGGCGAAGGCGACUUCCUGGACCGAUACUGACGCUGAGGUGCGAAGGCGUGGGGAGCAAACAGGAUUAGAUACCCCCGUAGUCC
rnacentral:rRNA from 1 species